rnacentral:rRNA from 1 species
GAUGAACGCUGGCGGCGUGCCUAAUACAUGCAAGUCGAGCGAAGCGGGGACGGGUGAGUAACACGUGGAUAACCUCCUAUAAGACUGGGAUAACUUCGGGAAACCGGAGCUAAACCGGUUACUUAUAGAUGGUUCCGCGCUGCAUUAGCUAGUUGGUACGGUAACGGCUUACCAAGUCAACGAUGCAUAGCCGACCUGAGAGGGUGCGCAGCAAAACUGUAAAUGAGACACGGUCCAGACUCCUACGAGAGGCAGCAGUAGGGAAUCUGCCGCAAUGGGCGAAAGCCUGACGGAGCAACGACGCAUGAGUGAGGAAGUUCUUCGGAGCGUAAAACUCUGUUAUUAGGGAAGCGGUACCUAAUCAGAAAGCCACGGCUAACUACGUGCCAGCAGACGCGGUAAUUC